CAAUAGCGUAUAUUAAAGUUGCUGCAGUUAAAAAGCUCGUAGUUGGAUUUCGGGUGGGAAUGGCCGGUCCGCCGUUUCGGUGUGCACUUGCUACGCCCACCUUGCUGCCGGGGACGUGCUCUUGAGUUCACGCUCGGGACACGGAGUCGGCGAGGUUACUUUGAGUAAAUUAGAGUGUUCAAAGCAGGCCUACGCUCUGAAUACAUUAGCAUGGAAUAACACGAUAGGACUCUGGCCUAUCUUGUUGGUCUGUAGGACCGGAGUAAUGAUUAAGAGGGACAGUCGGGGGCAUUCGUAUUUCAUUGUCAGAGGUGAAAUUCUUGGAUUUAUGAAAGACGAACUACUGCGAAAGCAUUUGCCAAGGAUGUUUUCAUUGA
rnacentral:rRNA from 1 species